AUUGAACGCUGGCGGCGUGCCUAACACAUGCAAGUCGAGCGGUAAGGCCCUUUCGGGGGUACGACGAGCGGCGAACGGGUGAGUAACACGUGGGUGACCUGCCCUUAGCUCUGGGAUAAGCCUGGGAAACUGGGUCUAAUACCGGAUAUGACUCCAUGACGCAUGUUGUGGGGUGGAAAGCCUUGUGCGGCUAGGGAUGGGCCCGCGGCCUAUCAGCUUGUUGGUGGGGUGAUGGCCUACCAAGGCGACGACGGGUAGCCGGCCUGAGAGGGCGACCGGCCACACUGGGACUGAGACACGGCCCAGACUCCUACGGGAGGCAGCAGUGGGGAAUCUUGCGCAAUGGGCGAAAGCCUGACGCAGCGACGCCGCGU
rnacentral:rRNA from 1 species